rnacentral:rRNA from 1 species
GACGAACGCUGGCGGCGUGCUUAACACAUGCAAGUCGAACGGAAAGGCCCUGCUUUUGUGGGGUGCUCGAGUGGCGAACGGGUGAGUAACACGUGAGUAACCUGCACUUGACUUUGGGAUAACUUCAGGAAACUGGGGCUAAUACCGGAGAGGAGCUCCUGCUGCAUGGUGGUGGUUGGAAAGUUUCGGCGGUUGGGGAUGGACUCGCGGCUUAUCAGCUUGUUUGUGGGGUAGUGGCUUACCAAGGCUUUGACGGGUAGCCGGCCUGAGAGGGUGACCGGCCACCUUGGGCCUGAGAUACGGACCAGACUCCUACGGGAGGCAGCAGUGGAGAAUAUUGCACAAUGGGCGGAAGCCUGAUGCAGCAACGCCGCGUGCGGGAUGACGGCCUUCGGGUUGUAAACCGAUUUCGCCUGUGACGAAGCGUGAGUGACGGUAAUGGGUAAAGAAGCACCGGCUAACUACGUG